rnacentral:rRNA from 1 species
UACAGAGGUCUCGAGCGUUGUUCGGAUUCAUUGGGCGUAAAGGGUGCGUAGGUGGUCAGGUAAGUCGGAGGUGAAAGCCCGGGGCUCAACCCCGGAAUUGCCUUUAAGACUGCAUCGCUUGAAUUGUGGAGAGGUAAGUGGAAUUCCGAGUGUAGAGGUGAAAUUCGUAGAUAUUCGGAAGAACACCAGUGGCGAAGGCGACUUACUGGACACAUAUUGACGCUGAGGUGCGAAAGCGUGGGGAGCAAACAGG